UACGGAGGGGACUAGCGUUGUUCGGAAUUACUGGGCGUAAAGCGCACGUAGGCGGAUUUGUAAGUCAGGGGUGAAAUCCCGGGGCUCAACCUCGGAACUGCCUUUGAUACUGCAAAUCUCGAGUCCGGAAGAGGUGAGUGGAAUUCCUAGUGUAGAGGUGAAAUUCGUAGAUAUUCGGAAGAACACCAGUGGCGAAGGCGGCUCACUGGCCCGGUACUGACGCUCAGGUGCGAAAGCGUGGGGAGCAAACAGG
rnacentral:rRNA from 1 species